GCCUCGGUGGUAUAGUGGUAGAGAACGCGUCUCCGGAAAAGAUGAAACACGGGUUCGAUUCGCGCUUGAAACC